rnacentral:rRNA from 1 species
UACGGAGGAUCCAAGCGUUAUCCGGAUUUAUUGGGUUUAAAGGGUGCGUAGGCGGCUUAAUAAGUCAGUGGUGAAAGCCGAUCGCUUAACGAUCGAACUGCCAUUGAUACUGCUAGGCUUGAGUAUAGAUGAGGUAGGCGGAAUUGACAGUGUAGCGGUGAAAUGCAUAGAUAUUGUCAAGAACACCAAUUGCGAAGGCAGCUUACUAAGUUAUAAACUGACGCUGAGGCACGAAAAGUGCGGGGGAUCAAACAGG